rnacentral:lncRNA from 1 species
ACUGCCACUCAGUGAAUUCCUGGUUAUCUGCAUUGUGGCAAAAUGCUCAUCUGCCCAGGCAUCUAUGGUGUGGGGAAGAGGACUGUGUUGCUAUAGCUACUGAUCCCCCCAUUUUUGGCUUCUUUGACCUUUCCUCCCCUUGGGGGAGGAAAUACUGCUGCAGUAGCCUGUGGAGGCUAUGGGGAGAGCAGAUCCACCUUCGAGUUCAAGAGAAAGACAUUCUCCAGGAAGCCCUCCUCUCCUCACAUUUGGCGACAGUUACAAAGCAGAAUUGUCUCCUCUUUAAGUGGCCGUCGUGAAGCCCAGAGGCAGUGUGGGAUGCUGAAUGAAAUAACAGUUUCCAAAGUACCAUCCGAUCAAGCCUUCCCAUAUUCUCCUGAGAUUCCUUUCACUACUGCUCAAAGACUUGGGGGUCUGGAGUCUUUUGUUUUUGUGUGUUUGGUUAUUUACCAUUAGAUGGUAACAUAGGGAUGGGCCCUGGCUAUAUUUCCACUCCUUGUUCUUGCUCCUGCAUAAAUCAUGGAAAUCCUCACCUUAAAAACUUCUUUUGACCAUAACCUUGACUUCAUUGUGAGGCAUUUAGAAAAAGGCGUGGCCUAUCCAAGUAAAGGGCAGGUACUCAGCUUACCCACCAGCUACAACUUGUCACAAACUGACACAUAACCUGGCUCUCUAUCCAUCUCCAUUGGUUUUUACACUCACUGAGGAAGCAUCAUGGUAUACCAGAAAGUCUAGGCUUUGGAUCAAACAUAUUUGGAUGUCAAUUCCAGCUCCUGGAUCCAAACAUAUUUGGAUUUAAAUUCCUUGAGUAAAUUACCCCCAUCUUCAAAUCUGUUUCCUCAAUUAGAAAGGGCUGUUAGGAAGAG